rnacentral:rRNA from 1 species
UGAUCGGGGUUGCGGACAGUGUCUGGUGGGUAGUUUGACUGGGGCGGUCUCCUCCUAAAGAGUAACGGAGGAGCACGAAGGUUGGCUAAUCCUGGUCGGACAUCAGGAGGUUAGUGCAAUGGCAUAAGCCAGCUUGACUGCGAGCGUGACGGCGCGAGCAGGUGCGAAAGCAGGUCAUAGUGAUCCGGUGGUUCUGAAUGGAAGGGCCAUCGCUCAACGGAUAAAAGGUACUCCGGGGAUAACAGGCUGAUACCGCCCAAGAGUUCAUAUCGACGGCGGUGUUUGGCACCUCGAUGUCGGCUCAUCACAUCCUGGGGCUGAAGUAGGUCCCAAGGGUAUGGCUGUUCGCCAUUUAAAGUGGUACGCGAGCUGGGUUUAGAACGUCGUGAGACAGUUCGGUCCCUAUCUGCCGUGGGCGCUGGAGAACUGAGGGGGGCUGCUCCUAGUACGAGAGGACCGGAGUGGACGCAUCACUGGUGUUCGGGUUGUCAUGCCAAUGGCACUGCCCGGUAGCUAAAUGCGGAAGAGAUAAGUGCUGAAAGCAUCUAAGCACGAAACUUGCCCCGAGAUGAGUUCUCCCUGAGACUUUAAGUCUCCUGAAGGAACGUUGAAGACGACGACGUUGAUAGGCCGGGUGUGUAAGCGCAGCGAUGCGUUGAGCUAACCGGUACUAAUGAACCGUGAGGCUUAACCUU